GGGAACAAUGUAAUCUUUUGAAACUCUCAUAUAUUCAAAUUCUUAUUUAUUUCAUAUGCUUGUCAUAUACUUGUUUAUCAAUUGUUGGGUUCUCAUUUGUGCUCAAUGCUUUUAUUAGUUAACUCAUUCAGUAAAAGAUGUUUGUCUUUAUCGAUAUGGGGACGUACGGUAAUGUCAUGAACUGGUGGGAAAUUCCUUGAUUAUGCCAAUAUCACCUAGGGAUAGGGGUAGGACAAUCAAUUGUAGUUGCUUCCGAUCGCAUUGCAUUAUUGGUUACUAGGGGAGGCUAGGGAUAGGAAGCCGGUAAUUAAUAAUAGACUCUUUUCACCAAGGGAUUGGGUUAAGGGUAAAUAAGAAAGUGUGCAUGGAAAUUAAAUAAAUAAGUGAAGUAAAUAAGAAGAGUAGAUAUAUGAGAGUGGAUAAGAUGAAAUUGUAAACCCCAACAACACCAUUCAUCCAUAGUUUCUCAAAACCAACUGAAUCAACUGCAUUGCAUGUUUAUUUUUGUUCUUUGCAUAUAACCACCAAAUUUAUUCUUCUCUCAAGUCUUAUAAGAUUUGUUUACAUGAAAGUUAAGGCCUAAGAGUCCUUUGGGAAAACGAUACUCGGACUUACCCGUUUAUAUUACUUGAUAACGAUCUGGUACACUUGCCAGGGACUUAACAUGCCUCCAUUCUUUUAUAUGCUCCCUGAGUGCUUUUUUGAAUUGAGAGAGAUUCCCUCAAGAAUUGUUGGAGAGUCUCUUCAAACUUUGUAGCACUGUGAGCUUGUAGUGGUCUAGUGAAUAGCCCACUUGUUUGCUCAAAUGGAUUUUGAUUUAUGCUUGAGUGUAAUCUCACCAGUGGUUGAAGUUGUUUAGAACAC
rnacentral:lncRNA from 1 species